UGGGUACAAUACAGGUGUUGUACUGAUUUAGCGACGGCUGUAUAAAAUACUGGUAGUACAACUCGCUAAUGUAAACAAGCACAAAGUCAUUACUGGAAGCAAGGCAACAGGAAGAACUGCCCCAGAAACUUUAUUCUGGGAGCUCCUGUGUUUCUGACAGCCCUCGUGAGAGCACGACAGGACAGCAGCGAGCAUUAGAAGGACCGAAUGCUUCUUUCGCUGCUGUGAAACAGGGAGGAAUUUAACCCCAAAAGAUGCAGACCUGCUGGUGGUAAGACAAGGAGCUGCCCUUGGCAUCCACGGGACUUCCCCAAUUAGCAAUCUCCUCCAGCACUUACCCUGCAGUCAAAUCCAAGCUCUUCCAGCACUGCAUUUGAUGUGAAGUCAAUACUGAGAAGGUCGGCUCUUAUGCAGAAGCUGAAACCCAAACAAUUCCUCUCUCCUAAUUUGGAGAUCAGAUUGUCCAUUUGGUUCAUGUAUACAGGUGUGCCUCAAUGGAGAUGCAGAACUCUGGCCAGCCACAGCUCUUGCCACAUCUUCAGCAGAGCCAUCAGAGUGAGCCUGCAUGUACCUGCCCAGCAGCACCAGCAAAGGCUCCACUCUGCCAACGUGAGCCCAGUCUGAGGGAGAACUGCUCAUCACCCUCAUCCUCCUCCAGGACUUUGCAUUAGGUGCCAUGAACAUGCACAACCCUGGUGUCACUGAGGCUUAACUCUAGGCAGGUGCUCCCUGGAUCAGGACCUAAAUGGUUAAUUUUCAAGUGGCUUCUUAGAGCAGAUGUUCCCAUGUGUAUCCCCUCCUUCCUUCUUCUGACACAUUUCCUACACAAACAGCAGAUUGCAUUGCUGCUGUCCUUUUGAUCUGCGGGAGGGGGAGGAAAAUCCCACACAAAUUAUAUUAGUUCUCUUUUCAGGCAGGCUGGUGAUGGUGGGUAUGGGCAUGUGCCUCCCUCCCACCUCUCCCUGCCCAGAUGCUUUUCCUGGGACUUUCUUUUUUAGUCCCUGCCCACUUCUGGAGCUGCUUUUAAGGUUGCUUACCUUAAAGUCUGGAAAGAAAGAGGAGGUAAGGGUGGGCAAAUUGUUAAAAAAUUGUUGUUGCAAAACACUGCUGUCUGCCUAAACACAUUCAGAGGCUGAGGUACUGUCUGCUCCACCUGCUGCCAUGCUGCUGGCUCUUGUGCAUGGCACUUGGGUACCUCCACUCUUUGUGGGCACUGAUGAGUUAAGCCACACUGCCUGGGUGAGGCUUAAGUCCUUACCAGUCAGGAGACUCUCUUUGAGCUUGUGUCUAGAUCAUUCCCAAUCCCAAACUUAGUGUCCAGCCUAGCGGACAUGGCCAUAUAGUCUCAGGCUGGUUGAUGAGGGACAGCUCUUGCAGCCUCUGUGAGAGGUGACUCAGGGUGGGGUGGCAGGACACCGCAGGGUCAGAUCAUUAUGGGGAGAUCAGGCCUUCCCUCUUUCUUCCAGGAUGAGAACCAGGAAGCAGAAAACUCAGCAAGAUUGGGUUGAGGAUGAAUUAAAGAAGGUGAUUCUCUAUGGGAUUGUAGUUAAGGUGUGCAUCUCCUUGAUACAGCACCUCCAGGGUGUCAAGACUGUGUAGGUUUGAAGGACCAUGAGAAAAUGUCAUGGUUAAUAAAUUCAUCAAAAGGUGUCAAAUGCAAUGCACAGAACUGGGUUUAUAAAGCCAUACAGUGCUGACAGUGUGAAGAAUAUUCUGGGGUAGCAUCACUGAUUGCUUACCACGUUCCUACAUUCAUCUGACCACAUCACUGCUGUUCUUUUUUGGAGAGAAGACACUAGGUUUGAUGUUCCUCUGCUCUGUCCCAGGAUGGCCUUUUACAUUAUUAUCCUGAGACAGAGAAGAAAGCUUUCUGUCACUCUGCUUUGGGUGGCAGUUGCAGGAGCCCUCAAGAUGUAUGAUGGAGAUGUUGGAGGUAAGGUGUGAUGGAGCUGAUGGAGUCAAGGUCUGGUGGCCACUCAUUUUUCUAGCAUCACCCACCUGUGGCUUGACUGGGGUGAAAAAGACAAACAGUUCUGCCUGAGCUCCUUCCUAGAAGGACCAGGCAUGGCUGUUCAGGAAGGACUUUUUGGGAUGUCUGGAGGGCUUAACACAGCCAGUGUCCCUGGCCUUGCCACAGCAGC